GGCAGUUCUUGGGUGACGCACCUCAGAAUCAGGCUCCCUCCUCUCUGGUUCUGGGUGUGUCACCUGAGAACCACA
rfam:Myotis brandtii contig178465, whole genome shotgun sequence.